rnacentral:rRNA from 1 species
GCGAACGCUGGCGGCAGGCUUAACCCCUGCAAGUCGAGCGGGCACUUUCGGGUGUCCGCGGCGGACGGGUGAGUAACGCGUGGGAACGUGCCCUCUGGUUCGGAAUAACUCAGGGAAACUUGAGCUAAUACCGGAUACGCCCUUUUGGGGAAAGGCUUGCUGCCGGAGGAUCGGCCCGCGUCUGAUUAGCUAGUUGGUGAGGUAACGGCUCACCAAGGCGACGAUCAGUAGCUGGUCUGAGAGGAUGAUCAGCCACACUGGGACUGAGACACGGCCCAGACUCCUACGGGAGGCAGCAGUGGGGAAUAUUGGACAAUGGGCGCAAGCCUGAUCCAGCCAUGCCGCGUGAGUGAUGAAGGCCUUAGGGUUGUAAAGCUCUUUUAUCCGGGACGAUAAUGACGGUACCGGAGGAAUAAGCCCCGGCUAACUUCGUG